rnacentral:misc_RNA from 1 species
GGACUGAUGUCUGUACGCCGAGACUCACUCUUGGCCUUUUGCGAAGUGAUCCGCUGUUAGUCUCGGCGAGCCGUAACAAAGAAUGUGAAUAAACCCGAAGCUAUGUCGUUUCCUGCCUCUUUUUAGUAGUUAAUCUGAAAUGUGAAAAAACCGGAAGUUUUGUGGUCCCUAGCCUCGUUCUAGCAGUUAAGUGAAAAGGAAAAAAAAAAAAAAUCGUCUGCCUGCUGUCCAUGCCCUCACUGCUACGGUAGUAAAAUGGCAGACAGUGCCUCUUUGAUAACAUGUGUAUCACGCUAUUGACGUAUUAGUUCGUGAUCACACGACUUUACUUUAAAGAACAUUUUCGAAAAAGCCGCUGACAAGACACGCCCCAUAUAGAUGCAGCAGGACUGAGGUCCACUUAUUCGUGUUUUCAGUUAAUAAAAUGUUCACGAGUUUCCAAAAGCACUUGUACGGAUUCAGCCUUUUUAAGUCUGUUUCUUCAUAUUCUGGCAAGCUGUUCUGGUUCAUUACCUCGUUGGCCUCCAUCGUCAGAAAACGCCAGAAUAAAUGUCGCUCUUGCUGCUUGACCUGAAAACCUGCCACAAUUUUAUUGUGAAUUGUUCUUUCAAAACACCCCACACCAGUAAUGACAGUAAUGCCGCGUCAACAGCUUGCGCCUGCAGUCGGACUGUAAAGUUUAAUCUUCAGCAGAGUAAAGGUGUGUUAAGCAUCGAAGGACACGUUACAGAACCAUUCCAAAUUGACUGGGAAGUCGUUCAUCAACCAGAUGACCUUCCAUCCAAAAAUGAUUGUUGCCAGGAAGACGCUUGCCGAAAACCUGAAGAUAUCCCUUCAGACCGUUUACACAGAUUGUGCCCUCACCGAAAGGAAACAGUAAAGAAAACUGAAAUGUCUUCACCUGAUGAUGGAAAUCCUGAAAAAGUUGUCGGUUUACCACAUGAGAAAAAGCCCAUUAACACACCCCCACAUGUUUUGUCGUGGGUGGAUGCUGCUAAUCCCAGCAGUUCCAGCGACAGCAACAGCAACAUCAGUAGUAAUAGCCUAGAAAACAGAGAUCUUCAAAUAGAUGCACAGCCAUCAGAAUUCGAUAGUGAAUCUGAUCGGUUUUCCACAUCGAGUUGUUCGUCUAAGGCUUCUGAUUCUUGGUCACAAUCUACUGGAUUUGAAAGCCUCAAAUCGCAUAACCAAAAAUUGGAUGCAGUUAUAUAUCAUGCAGAGGAAGAUCUUGGUACAGCUUCGGAGAUGUUAAAAAUGAUCAAAAGUAUACUGAAGAAGAACAAGAAAUUCCUGAGUAUCGAUAUAUGGGGAAAUUUUUCAAAUUCGACCUACUGUGGUGAUCUUGAAAAUCUGUGUUCAAAAUCCCGCCGGAUUGUACUUUUUGUGACAAAAUCGUUUGAACAAAAUACAAAGACAGUAAAUGGCAUUGAAUAUCUCUAUAUGAAUUGUAAAGAUCUUGAUUUAAAAUUAACUUGUAUUAAGUGUGGAUAUGGCGCAGAGGACAAGCCGAGCUUAAAGAUUUGGCAGAACUUGCCUGAUUUUAUUGCGUAUGAAAAUAGCGAAUGUUUCAAACAAGCCAUUCGAGGGAUUUUUGGAAUUUCGCAGCAAAGAUGUAGCACAGAUCGCAAAAAAUCUAACGCUCGUGCUUCCCAGAAAGGAACAAAAGAGUUACCCAGACAGCCUCCUGGAAGUCUUACUGCAAAGAAAGACACUACCUUUCAAACGUCACUCGGCAGCAAUGGGAAUGAAUACAACCCUCCGAACUGUGAAGAAGAGCCUAACUCAGCGCUCCUGACCGCUGACAGUAACCGCUCUGCUUCAGAGUCUGCACCCACUGCCUCCUUACCUUGUGUAAGUGAAAGAGAUUUUCCAAAGAGCGGUGACUCUUCCUCGUGUAUCUCGGUGGCUCACUCUCAAAAGGACGACUAUGUCACUGAAAGAGAUCAAGCUGAUUUCAAGACAAAUAAAGUCAAUGAAAAGAAAACUGAAAACGAGUCGAAGACAGCAAUAAAGUCACAAGAAACUGGAGAGGCCUUAGAGAAAGCGUCAUCAAAAAAUUACUCUUAUUUGAAAAUCCCAGCAUCGGAAUGUGAAGACGAAUUGUCCUCUGAUGUGGUCCCUGACAGCAGCACUGAACCACAUUCUUUACUUGUUAACACCCAAUAUUCGUCUUCUUCUAGUAACGCCCAUCAAGACCCUUUUGGGACAAGUGAAAACAAUGUGUCAUUGGAUGCGGUCGUAGACAGCAGUAAUGACCAGCUAUCUCCGCCACUUGACUCCUAUCCCUCUGCUACUUCUCGGCCUGCCCAACCAGACUUUGCUGGGGCCAGCGAAAAUUCCUCGCCGCUUGAAGGGGUCAUUGAUAGCGAGAAUUACCAGCUUCCUCUGCCGCUAGACAACCAGCCCUUAGAUUCAACUGGAAGUGUAUACUUUGUACAGGCAAUGCAUACAGACCAACGUGUACAUUUAAUGGGACAUGAGUAUCUUUGGCCUAAAGAAUCUCUUGCCAUUGCUUCUAAAUUACAUGUUGCGACGCCUGGUGAGAAGCCCUCAAGUCUGUCUCAGACCAACCAAUCUGCUGGAGCAGCUUCCAGAAAAUUAGCAGUUGGUCAUUCCACUGAGAAACAUAGUGGCUUAAAUUUACUACCACUAACAUUUCCGCCGAAUAGAUGUAAUAUUCGGGAAACAAUGCUGUCUAAGACUGAAAUGUUAAUUUCUCCUUCGGAUCAUAACCUAACCACUUCUUCUGAUUUCAACUCGAAGUCUUUCUUUUCAGAGUCAGACCACUAUGAGGAGAGGGAUUUUCAGUCUUCCAUUAGUGACAUCGUGGACGAAAAGAUUUUUGAUGCAAAAGAGUUUGAUAAUAAAGAAAAAGAUGACGACGAAGUAUAAAUCUUUAUCUUUUAAAUUAACUGGCUUGUUGGCCAACAUUACAGAUACUGUUGAGUUAAUUUAAUCAUCACAUUGUAGCAUCCUUGUCGUAAUGUUGGGGAGGGUUAGUGAUUGUUGUAUUUUUCUAGUGUAUCCUCAGCAAAAAUUAAUAGUGAUAGUAUUUCCACUUUCGAGAAUUCACACCCAUACAAUUUUAUUUUAAAUGACUUUUGUACUUCUCAUGAGCACUGUUCUCAGAAGUCUGGCAAAAUUUACAACCAGUAAUACCACCAGCUUGGUGAAAGAAUAACAGUAGCACAUUUCCACAUUCAAACCUUUUCUGAAAUAUGCUGUUCCUUAUACAAGAACUGUUUGUGAGCUAUACAAUGCAUUGUCUAGCUGGCGACAGUUCACAAGUUCAGAAUUUAGACUUUUCAGUCCUCCAAGUCAUUCAGCAUAGAGCCUUUUUUCUUUGGUUCUAGUGAAGACCCCCAAGACCCAGACUUUCAGCGCCUUCUAUAAAGGAUUCUUGCACCUCGAGGACAGGAACUCAAAAUGUACUGAACCUGUUCGUUUGCUCAGAGACUAGCGAAAGAUACACGACUGCCUUGAUGCUGUGUUGAACAAAGUAGCAGGAGACUGCAAGAUGCAAAGGAAAGGUGAUACAA